rnacentral:rRNA from 1 species
AGGGUGAUCGGCCACACUGGGACUGAGAUACGGCCCAGACUCCUACGGGAGGCAGCAGUAGGGAAUAUUGCGCAAUGGACGAAAGUCUGACGCAGCAACGCCGCGUGGGUGAUGAAGCAUCUUGGUGUGUAAAACCCUGUCAGAGGGGAAGAAACGUGCGGGGAGUAACUGCCCUGCACCUGACGGUACCCUCAGAGGAAGUCCCGGCUAACUCCGUGCCAGCAGCCGCGGUAAUACGGGGGGGACAAGCGUUGUUCGGAUUUACUGGGUGUAAAGGGCGCGUAGGCGGACCUUCAAGUCGGGUGUGAAAACUGUCAGCUUAACUGGCAGCCUGCAUUCGAUACUGUUGGUCUUGAGUACAGGAGAGGAAAGUGGAAUUCCAGGUGUAGCGGUGAAAUGCGUAGAUAUCUGGAAGAACACCAGUAGCGAAGGCGGCUUUCUGGACUGAUACUGACGCUAAAGCGCGAAGGCUUGGGGAGCAAACAGGAUUAGAUACCCUGGUAGUCCAAGCGGUAAACGAUGGGUACUAGGUGUCGGGGGUCUCGGCCCCCUCGGUGCCGCAGCUAACGCACUAAGUACCCCGCCUGGGGAGUACGGUCGCAAGAUUGAAACUCAAAGGAAUUGACGGGGGCCCGCACAAGCGGUGGAGUAUGUGGUUUAAUUCGACCAACGCGCAGAACCUUACCUGGGUUUGACAUGUUUAGGACAACCGGUGAAAGCCGGUCUUCCCUUCGGGGACCUUUGCACAGGUGCUGCAUGGCUGUCGUCAGCUCGUGCCGUGAGGUGUUGGGUUAAGUCCCGCAACGAGCGCAACCCCCGUCCAUAGUUGCCAUCAGGUAAUGCUGGGGACUCUAUGGAGACUGCCGGUGACAAGCCGGAGGAAGGUGGGGAUGACGUCAAGUCCUCAUGGCCCUUACACCCAGGGCUACACACGUACUACAAUGGCCGGUACAGUAGGUUGCAAGACCGCAAGGUGGAGCUAAUCCCCAAAACCGGCCUCAGUUCAGAUUGGAGUCUGCAACUCGACUCCAUGAAGGCGGAAUCGCUAGUAAUCGCUGAUCAGCAAGCAGCGGUGAAUACGUUCCCGGGCCUUGUACACACCGCCCGUCAAGCCACGGAAGUUGGGAGCACCCGAAGUCGCUUACCUAACCGCAAGGAAGGUGGCGCCUAAGGUGAUACCGACGACUGGGGCUAAGUCGUAACAAGGUA